AAUCGUGAUGAUGACCACAUAAAAUUCAAGCUCAACAGACCUGAUUGCAGGUUUCUCCUUUUGGAGAAUUUUGCGUGUCGAAUACCCCGCUGAACUGAACGAUU